rnacentral:rRNA from 1 species
GAUGAACGCUGGCGGCGUGCCUAAUACAUGCAAGUCGAGCGAACGGACGAGAAGCUUGCUUUUCUGAUGUUAGCGGCGGACGGGUGAGUAACACGUGGAUAACCUACCUAUAAGACUGGGAUAACUUCGGGAAACCGGAGCUAAUACCGGAUAAUAUUUUGAACCGCAUGGUUCAAAAGUGAAAGACGGUCUUGCUGUCACUUAUAGAUGGAUCCGCGCUGCAUUAGCUAGUUGGUAAGGUAACGGCUUACCAAGGCAACGAUGCAUAGCCGACCUGAGAGGGUGAUCGGCCACACUGGAACUGAGACACGGUCCAGACUCCUACUGGAGGCAGCAGUAGGGAAUCUUCCGCAAUGGGCGAAAGCCUGACGGAGCAACGCCGCGUGAGUGAUGAAGGUCUUCGGAUCGUAAAACUCUGUUAUUAGGGAAGAACAUAUGUGUAAGUAACUGUGCACAUCUUGACGGUACCUAAUCAGAAAGCCACGGCUAACUACGUG